rnacentral:rRNA from 1 species
GAUGAACGCUGGCGGCGUGCUUAACACAUGCAAGUCGAACGGAAAGGCUCCUGCUUGCAGGGGUACUCGAGUGGCGAACGGGGGAGUAACACGUGGGGGAUCUGCCCUGCACUUCGGGAGAAGCCUGGGAAACUGGGUCUAAUACCGGGUAGGACGAUGGGUUGGAUGCCAUUGUGGAAAGUUUUUCGGUGUGGGCUGGGCUCGCGGCCUAUCAGCUUGUUGGUGGGGUAAUGGCCUACCAAGGCGUCGACGGGUAGCCGGCCGGAGAGGGUGUACGGCCACAUUGGGCCUGCGGUACGGCCCAGUCUCCUACGUGCGGCAGCAGUGGGGAAUAUUGCACAAUGGGCGCACGCCUGAUGCAGCGACGCCGCGUGGGGGAUGCCGGCCUUCGGGUUGUAAACUCCUUUCGCUAGGGCCGAAGCGCACGUGACGGUACCUGGAGAAGAAGCACCGGCUAACUACGUG